rnacentral:piRNA from 1 species
UCAUGUUUAGGACAAGUGGGCAGGU